CCGCACGCCCCCCGCCGUCUGGACGCCUCCCGUCGCUCUCGCUUGGGCCACCGCCGCCGCCAGCUCUUUCAUGUCCGCCGCCGCCUCGUCCUAGUCCUCGUCCUCCUCCCUCCUUUCCAGUUCGCUGCCACCACCGCCGCCGCCGCUAGCCCUUUCCAGUCCGCCACCUCCUCCUCCUUGUCCUCCUCCUCCUCCCUCCUUUCCAGUUUGUGCCGAGCGGACUCUGCACCGCGGUGAGCUGUGCCGGAUCCUCGCGGAGCUCUUCCCAAAGUACCCGAUUCAGACGAGCGCAGACGGUGAGGACCAGGAGGAAAUAGGUGCUGUUCUAGACCUGUAGGGCAGUUGGUGUGUCCUGACAAAAGUUAAACUACCUUGAGGUAUAUGAUAUGUUCCUAUUAACAUCUAAACUAGGGAUCUGCACAUAGAAAUGAAAAUAACUUGAUUGGUUUGGAAUACUCGAUCAUCAUAGAUAAUGAAGUGAAACACGGAAAUAAUGGAAUGUAAUCUAUUUUUCAUUGUCUUGCUUCGUGUAUGUCUCCUCGGCAUCGGUAGCUUUGUAUCCUGGACUUCCCUUCACUUUGUUCCAGGCAUAGUUAACCAAUGUGACAGCUAGCUUGAGCCUGAAAUUAGUCAUAUCCUUCUGCACAUAACAAAUACAAAUGCCUGUUAGCCUUAAUGUAAGAUGGGCAUAGAUUGGGUUGCUGAAUUUAUGUUGUUCAACUUACCUGUGUGAAUAAGGAAGAUAAUUUGUUUCCGGUCCAAAGCUCCAUGAAUUUAACCGUGAAUAGUCCACACGAUGCACUGCGAGUUUAUUUGUAUUUACACAAGUUAGGAAGAACUAAUUAUGGGAACCCGAGUAUAUUGACAGGUGUUGAUGUGCUUGUACUUGUCAGUCUGGAUUGUCUUUUUGAUGCAUUCAAUGACUGGCCAUUCUUUGACUUGGGUGUCCUUCCACCUAUGUUCUUUGAUCAAUUGCAGGUCUACAAGGCGUGUCAUACGGUUCUGCAACCCUUGCAACUGAGUUCAAUAGAAUCAUCAGUGGUUGAGGCUUGCCUAUAUGUGUCUCCAUCGCCUGAAGCACGACAUUUCUAGGUUCUACCACUGCCCUUGAUUCCUGCAAGUUAGCAACGGCUGCAAAUUAUGGUAGUCGAGCUCGGAACUGAAUGAAGGCAAGUGGUGGUAUAUGGAGCAUUUCUCUUAUUGAUCCAAACAAUGAGAAUAUCCAAUAACACUUGGAACAAUUCUCAGCUUGCAGAAUACAAUUGAUCGCUACCUGAACCACACCAAAGGCACACCUACAAAUGAAAAAGUUCACGAACCAGGUGUAGAGGUACACCUAAUUCAAUCCUUUCCCUCCCUCGUUAUCAGCUGGGAUUAGUUCUUGUUUGUAUAUCCUUAUUCUAUUUUCUAUUUAAUUCCUACUUUGUAGCUGUUUUCAGUAUGGUCGCAUAAAUUCACCCAACCUAGUGCUUAUGAGCUGAUCAGUAUGGUCGCUUGAACCUAGUGCUCCCUGUUCUAUAUGGCUGAUCAUUACCCUCGCAUAGCAUUAGUACCAGUACUCCAAUUGCACCACUCUAUAUGUCUUGAACAAGCACAUGCACAUCACUGUAUAUGUCUUGUUCCUUCUAAGUUGUUUUUCAUAGCAGGCAGCAAGACUUACACGGCUUGUAGAGCUUGGUUGCUUCUUGAUCUGCCUUGGUGGCUCAAAAUUGGUUGAAUGAAUCUGAUCCUGUUCAGUUUUUUUAUAUGUCAUGUCGCAUUGAUAAAACUGAUCAUAAACUUUAUCGUUGCAGAUGAGAUUGAACUUACUGGAUUGAAUGGGAGAGAUGUAAUUGGAUCAAUUAGCGCAGGUGGUGCAUGCUCCUUCUGUUGCGCAGGUGGUGUAUGGUCCUGCUCUUGUGUGUCAGGAUUGAUGGGUGGCACCGAAGAAGUAGCUCCGUCCACAUCCAUGGUGGCUGAGUUGUCUGAUGUGAAGCAAGAUGGUAAACUGCCGCUGCCUGCUGCCUUCCUGCCGCUGCAGCUGCCAAGUUUGUUGUUCAUGUGAGUCCGUGUGAAGCAAGAUUGUUUUUAUUAUCUAACGUCAAGUGUUAGUUUAAAUUAGGUGCUAUGAUAUCCAAACGUGUAGAGUUUGUUUAAAUUAGGCCUCACGUGAAGAGUUUGUUUAAAUUAGGCCUCACGUGAAGAGUUUGUAAGCUAAUACAUGCCUCCAACGACGGGAUAGCACAGUUUCCAACUAACGUUUUUCUGUCAAUGCUUUCCAAGCAAAUUACUGAUACCUUGUCAAUGCGACGGGAUACUCUAA